GACAGAACUAUGAUCUUGAAAAAGGUGGUUUUACUUUAUUUGUAGGCUGUUUAUUUAACAAAGAUCAUAGCAGUGAUUCUCAAUAAUACUGAUAAAAUGCAGGUUAAUUGGCAGUUUGUCAUUCUGAUGGUUUGUGUUGAUCUGUUAUGUAUGCGGACACACCAGAGAAUUAUGAUGACGUCAUUAACGGACAGAACUUUCAAGAUCUAGUAGGAGUUCACGAGGAGUAUGAUGAUGUGAAGAAUGACAGAGAAGAUGUGACAAACCUGUUGGACUAUGACGAUGUGGGGGAGGAGUCACUCAAUGUGGGACAGGCUGUAUAACUCAAUGACCACACCCACUGUCUCAUGCCAUAAAAUCACAUUACCUGCAGCUUCAGGAGCUAC